GAUGAAGAACGCAGCGAAAUGCGAUAGGUAGUGUGAAUUGCAGAUGUAACGUGAAUCAUCGAAUCUUUGAACGCAAAUUGCACUCUCUGGUAUUCCGGGGAGUAUGCCUGUUUGAGGGUCGUCUAAAUUAAACAUCGAUUUUAUUGCUUAUUUUUUUAUAUAAAAAGUAAAUAUUAUCGGAUUUGAGCUUUUCUUUAUAUAUAAUUUUUGUAUAAAGUAGCUUAAAAUUUUUUUUUGGUAUCAAAAAGCGUAUUUUAUAUAGUCAAUUCUGAUUAAAAAACGCUUGAAUUUUUGUAUACCACCAUCAUGUAAUACGUUUGACUUGUCAUUUUUAAGUUCAUUCGUAUACGAAGUUUUUUUCAAUUUUAGACCUCAAAUCAGGUAAGAAUACCCGCUGAACUUAAGCAUAUCAAUAAGCGGAGGA
rnacentral:misc_RNA from 1 species